rnacentral:tRNA from 1 species
GUUCCUGUAGUGUAUAUAACACGUUAGAUUUUCGAUCUAGAGAAGAGUAUUAACUCUAGGAAUA